UCCCUUCGCCGCCUGGGGAACGGGCCUCCUGCGGGUCCUAAUUUCAUCCUGAAGGCAGCUCCGGCUUCUGUCUGAAGAUCUCCGAUGGGUAGAAAGGGUGGCCGACUUUCUCCGGUCAUCUCACAAGCUGGAGUUUGCCUCGGGGAGAGUUAAUAGUUGGCUUGUGGUAAGCGCUCAAAUUGUUGUCAAGUCCUACGUGAAGCAGGGCCGGGAUCAGGAUGAAUCAUGCAAGUGCUGAGUGGAUCCUGUCUUUAGGAAACCAGAAGACCCAAGGGGAAAGUGGUAAAUCUGGGAGACACAGGCUUGCAUUGGGCCGUGUGCUCAGUGACGAUGACCGCUGAAUGACUGCUGAAUGAACGCGUCUUGCUGUAUUCUUGAGUCGCUU